UGCUGCUCCUGCUUCCGGCCAUCAAUCCAGGAGCCUCUGCUAGACUGGCGAGUGGGGCACCAGCCUUGGAGCCAGGGCAUGGCAAGGUCUGCACCGACCAAGUCAGCGCAGGAUAUUGUGGAGGACUACAUGGUUGUUACUAGCUAUGCAUGUGGAAAGGCAUCUUGGCUCCUGCGGUGUCGCUGCUGGCAACAUCUGUGAUUUAUAGUUGAAGUUGCUUGUAGUGUUGAGUGGUAGUCGAUCGUCCAUUUUCUGUAUUUUGGUUAGGUUGUAUUCUUGGUUAACUAAUCUGUGCUGUGAACGUCCAAGAAAAUAGUAUGUAUGCAUGCUCAAGGAUGCACUAGAUGGUAGAUCUGCAAGCCUAUGUAUGCAUGCUUGGCUAGCUGGUGCUGCAUAUUCUCAUGUAUUUGUAUCCAUAAUAAUACCUACUCGUUACAGAUAAUAUGUACUAGUAUGAGUGUGUAAACUCAAAUAUUAAGGUUGUGGUUAAAACCCUUCCAAGGCUGAUUGAAAGAUUUUGUCACCCUCA